rnacentral:rRNA from 1 species
ACAGAGAAGAGUUUGAUCCUGGCUCAGGAUGAACGCUAGCGACAGGCUUAACACAUGCAAGUCGAGGGGUAACAGGGUAGCAAUACCGCUGACGACCGGCGCACGGGUGAGUAACACGUAUGCAACCUGCCCCGUACAUUGGGACAGCCUUCCGAAAGGGAGAUUAAUACCGGAUAAAACAGGGAUGCCGCAUGGCAGUAUUUGUUAAAGGAGCAAUCCGGUACGGGAUGGGCAUGCGGAGGAUUAGAUAGUUGGGAG